GAUGAACGCUGGCGGCGUGCCUAAUACAUGCAAGUCGAGCGAACGGACGAGAAGCUUGCUUUUCUGAUGUUAGCGGCGGACGGGUCAGUAACACGUGGAUAACCUACCUAUAAGACUGGGAUAACUUCGGGAAACCGGAGCUAAUACCGGAUAAUAUUUUGAACCGCAUGGUUCAAAAGUGAAAGACGGUCUUGCUGUCACUUAUAGAUGGAUCCGCGCUGCAUUAGCUAGUUGGUAAGGUAACGGCUUACCAAGGCAACGAUGCAUAGCCGACCUGAGAGGGUGAUCGGCCACACUGGAACUGAGACACGGUCCAGACUCCUACGGGAGGCAGCAGUAGGGAAUCUUCCGCAAUGGGCGAAAGCCUGACGGAGCAACGCCGCGUGAGUGAUGAAGGUCUUCGGAUCGUAAAACUCUGUUAUUAGGGAAGAACAUAUGUGUAAGUAACUGUGCACAUCUUGACGGUACCUAAUCAGAAAGCCACGGCUAACUACGUG
rnacentral:rRNA from 1 species